AAAUGACUCUCGGCAACGGAUAUCUCGGCUCUCGCAUCGAUGAAGAACGUAGCGAAAUGCGAUACUUGGUGUGAAUUGCAGAAUCCCGUGAAUCAUCGAGUCUUUGAACGCAAGUUGCGCCCGAAGCCUUUCGGCCGAGGGCACGUCUGCCUGGGUGUCACGC
rnacentral:rRNA from 1 species